rnacentral:rRNA from 1 species
AGUGAACGCUGGCGGUAGGCCUAACACAUGCAAGUCGAACGGCAGCACAGUAAGAGCUUGCUCUUACGGGUGGCGAGUGGCGGACGGGUGAGGAAUACAUCGGAAUCUACUUUUUCGUGGGGGAUAACGUAGGGAAACUUACGCUAAUACCGCAUACGACCUACGGGUGAAAGCAGGGGAUCUUCGGACCUUGCGCGAUUGAAUGAGCCGAUGUCGGAUUAGCUAGUUGGCGGGGUAAAGGCCCACCAAGGCGACGAUCCGUAGCUGGUCUGAGAGGAUGAUCAGCCACACUGGAACUGAGACACGGUCCAGACUCCUACGGGAGGCAGCAGUGGGGAAUAUUGGACAAUGGGCGCAAGCCUGAUCCAGCCAUACCGCGUGGGUGAAGAAGGCCUUCGGGUUGUAAAGCCCCUUUGUUGGGAAAGAAAAGCAGCAGGUUAAUACCCCGCUGUUCUGACGGUACCCAAAGAAUAAGCAUCGGCUAACUUCGUG